rnacentral:lncRNA from 1 species
GGAACCUUGAGUACGGGGUUUUCUCAGUAAACUAAUGUGCAGGCACCAACUUACAGCAUUCUCCAUGAAUCCUAUUGCCUCCUGCAGGCCUAGUGAAGAAUGUCCUGCCAAAGAGUCACCCAGUUUCUACCAAGUGUCUCAUGUUCUCUCAGAAUGGCAUUAGAGGGAACAGAAGUGCAUCUUGACCCGUGUCUGUAUUCUGUGGAAAAUGAGAAGUCAGAGCACCAGGACCGUACGGGAGCUAGGGAGAAGUGUGUGUUUCAGCCUUGGCAGUGGAUUCUUUGGCAGUUGUGUGGCCCAGAGGGAACCAGACGCAGAGAAAAGUCAAGCCAGGGCCCUUCUCUGACCUGGGACUCAUCAGUAACAGCUCGACUCCCAGCAAGCCUCAAGGGAUCUAUCUGCCCAUCUUGGCUUCUCCGGCAUUGGGAUUGAGUGCCUGGCACCAUCCCUGGUUCUUCUGCAUAGGUUAAAAACGGCCGACUCAGGACCUCAGGCAGACACUUUAUAACUGAAAUAUUAACCCAAUAAAUAUUAAUUGAUUUUAGGCCUCUAUUUUAAUUAUAAUUAGGCCAAGCAGAUUGGGAGGUUAGCAAAUAGGCCUUACUAGUUAGAAGCUAUGAACCUGCAUAUACCUCCACUGACCCAUGAUGGAGAGACACUGGAGAAAAUUCUCGGUGAAUGUAAAUGGCAGGCCCGACAUGAGAUAAGAAUUUAGGUCUGUACUGUACCCUUUCUGGCCAGGGGAGGUAAGAGAUUCUUUCCUCCUACAGAGCACAAAAUUGAUACCACAGCAACACACCUUGGCAUUGGGGAUUUUAGUCUCCAGGUAUCUGCAGAAACUUGAAUUCCUUGGAAAGCAAAACACUCACAAUUUCUUGACCAGCCUUGCUGAUAAUUUCAUUUCCCAGAAGGCAGAGUAAGCAUUAAGGAGACUUCUGCUCAGGACCCAAUUCUGACAGAAAGCAGUAGGUAAAGUAGAAAUGAUUGGAACCUUGGGGGAAAGCAGCCAUGCAGGCUCCGAGUUUGAUUUAAACAGUGUUCUGCCUAUGCAAACACAAAUGGUUCUAAUGAGCAGGAAAACGGGGAGGAAACUAAAGGAACCAGCACGCCACACGGGGACUUGCUGACAGCCUCUGAAUCUCAAGCAGCAUGUGCAAGAGACGGGGAGAGGGGCACACAAGAGGGAACACAUACGGAAGCAGGAAUGGAGGAAGGCAGCGUGGACCUGUAAGCCCUCAGCAAGACUGGGGCACAGAAUGAGCCGAGGCUCCUGGAGGAUGCUGGAAAGAAGCAAAAAACGCUGUUGCUUGGCACAGAAUCAGGGGAAACAGCAACCAAGGAACAGACCCAGACCUUGACACGGAAGACUAAUUCAUUCAUGAAAGUAGGAAAGCAGAUGCAAAAGAAGUGCAUCCUUUUGUGCAUCUUCCCUUUAGGUCAUCCACCCCUUGGCUCACGUGUCACCUCCUCGGAGAGGACCUUGACCACACCUUUGGAAAACAGUUUCCCCUGAUAUCUUUUUGCCCUUUGACUUUUCAGUCUCCUGGCUGCUGGUGCCGUCAUCUUACGCACUGAAAUGUUUGCUUUCUGUCCCGG